GCUGAUUUCAGCUACUGACAUGACUUCGGUUGACCAGCAAACUCUAGGACUAUUUCCAGAAGGUUCUUGGUAGCUAGUAGGAGCAGAGCGGUGUUUGGAGGAAGUCCAGAGGGGCAGAGGUUGCCCCAAAGACAACUCCAAGCCCCGAAGACGCUGGAUGGUUCAGCAGAUUUACCUGACAGUUGCGUUUCCUGCUGCGAGAUUUAGUCCCUUAGGAAGGUGUCUGCUGUCUGACGCAUUCUCCUCACUGGGACCAACACCGACACCCACUGUGUAAGCAGGGAGAGGUUCAUGUUUGCAGUGUGCGAUCUGCUGACGCCUGGCUGAAGCAACACAGCGGCAUGGGCCGGGGGAAAGAAAACCGCUUGCUUCCUGGAGACCAGACAGCAGAGAGAGAAAGUGGGGAAGGUGCACCUUCCAGGUCACACCCCAAGGACCGCUUCUGGGGACCAGGCCCUACCUCCUGGACAUCACACGCAGCUACAGAGCCCUCGUGAUCCAAACACAUUCCACACACGUGGUGUAAAUCUGGGGAACAAUUCAGAAUUAAACCGUAAUACAUGCCCAGAAAAGGUGUAAUAUUUUCAUGUGUUUUUGUUUUUUGCAAUACUGGGGGUUGAACCCAGGAUGUGCAUACAAAGUGACAUCCCCACUCCCUCUCUUUGCUUUUAAACAUUGUUUGCACUGAGACAGUGUCUUGUGUUAAACCAGUAAGCUGCCCAG